rnacentral:rRNA from 1 species
ACGAACGCUGGCGGCGUGCUUAACACAUGCCAGUCGAACGGAAAGGCCCUGCUUUUGUGGGGUGCUCGAGUGGCGAACGGGUGAGUAACACGUGAGUAACCUGCCCUUGACUUUGGGAUAACUUCAGGAAACUGGGGCUAAUACCGGAUAGGAGCUCCUGCUGCAUGGUGGGGGUUGGAAAGUUUCGGCGGUUGGGGAUGGACUCGCGGCUUAUCAGCUUGUUGGUGGGGUAGUGGCUUACCAAGGCUUUGACGGGUAGCCGGCCUGAGAGGGUGACCGGCCACAUUGGGACUGAGAUACGGCCCAGACUCCUACGGGAGGCAGCAGUGGGGAAUAUUGCACAAUGGGCGGAAGCCGGAUGCAGCAACGCCGCGUGCGGGAUGACGGCCUUCGGGUUGUAAACCGCUUUCGCCUGUGACGAAGCGUGAGUGACGGUAAUGGGGAAAGAAGCACCGGCUAACUACGU